rnacentral:lncRNA from 1 species
GGGGCCCUAUAGGGGCAGUAUUUAUAGGGCAGUAUUUACGGGGCCCUAUAGGGCCAUAUAGAGGCUCGGGGGCCCUAUAGGGUAUUUAUGGGUCCCUAUAGGGUAUUUAUGGGGCCCUAUAGGGGUUGUAGGGCUCUAUAGGGUAUUUAUGGGGCCCUAUAGGGCCAUAUAGGGGGCUCGGGGGCUCUAUAGGGUAUUUACGGGGCCCUAUAGGGGCUAUAGGGCCAUAUAGGGGGCUGUGGGGGC